CGGACGGGUGAGUAAUGCCUAGGAAUCUGCCUGGUAGUGGGGGACAACGUUUCGAAAGGAACGCUAAUACCGCAUACGUCCUACGGGAGAAAGCAGGGGACCUUCGGGCCUUGCGCUAUCAGAUGAGCCUAGGUCGGAUUAGCUAGUUGGUGAGGUAAUGGCUCACCAAGGCGACGAUCCGUAGCUGGUCUGAGAGGAUGAUCAGCCACACUGGAACUGAGACACGGUCCAGACUCCUACGGGAGGCAGCAGUU
rnacentral:rRNA from 1 species